rnacentral:tRNA from 1 species
GAUUCCGUAGCUCAGUUGGGAGAGCGCCACCUUGACAGGGUGGAAGUCGUUGGUUCGAGCCCAAUCGGAAUCA